CCCUUAGAUGUUCUGGGCCGCACGCGCGCUACACUGACGAUGGCAACGAGUUUUUCCUUCGCCGAAAGGUGUGGGUAAUCUUUUGAAACAUCGUCGUGCUGGGGAUAGAUCAUUGCAAUUUUUGAUCUUGAACGAGGAAUUCCUAGUAAGCGCGAGUCAUCAGCUCGCGCUGAUUACGUCCCUGCCCUUUGUACACACCGCCCGUCGCUACUGCCGAUUGAAUGGUUUAGUGAGGACUCCUGAUUGGCGCCGCCGCCCCGGCAACGGAGCAGCGGACUGCCGAAAAGUUGUUCAAACUUGAUCAUUUAGAGGAAGUAAAAGUCGUAACA
rnacentral:rRNA from 1 species